ACAAGACGCACAACUCAUGAGCUCCUGAUGAACCAUCAGAUUUUGGGGCAUAAAUUAUAAAUUUCAGUAAAGUUUCUAAUUCAUAUCUGCUUCUGAGACGAGCAACUAGGGUAGAGACCCAUCUGAUGAGAAUUUAAACAUUCACAACGACAUCUAUUUGGGCCCUCAGAUGCUUGCAAUGACCACGGGAUGGCAGUGACUGUCUGCCUUGCAGAGGCGGCCUGAUACAUGUGGAAUCUUAUACUACAUAACUAAAUAUGGAGGAUUUUUAUGUGCAGGUUCUGGAACUGAUUGACAAUUUUGCAGAAGAGGCGCAGCUCAACCUUAGCAGGCUAAAACCUACAAACAACACCAAGCCUGCAAAGAAAGUCGAUGUAACGUGGGUAAUGGCGGAUGGUACGGUCUCUGCAGCGAAUACAGACACUACUAACAUAGCAGGCUGUAUGCUGGAGUUCACCAGAGAGAGCGAGGAACCUUCAGCGACAAUACAGACAGAAGAUAUUUGUGUAAAUAAUAAUCAUUUGGGGAGAGCAUUUGCAACGAUUCUGCCUGAACAUGAAGCAUGGACUGACACACUGUGCCUCCCCAUACACGCUCAAUCUCCGGCUGCCCCAUAUAUGGACUCUACGCAGCUCUAAUUUGCUUUAAGCUAAAUGAGCAAAUAGAGCUACAGACCUCUAAAUCGUCAAUCGCUCUUUCUCCACAGACCAUCAAGUCAGUACAGGGAUAUAGGCAGUGGACGCUCAUUGCAGUCGCAUAUUCAUUCCUGCUUGUUCCCCGCUCUGGAUCCAGCCUUCUGAAGGAUGUUAGUUUGUGGCCAUUUGCAUGCACAGGACUUAAAAUGUGGAGAGAGGGGAUAGGGUGAGACGGUGCCUUUUCUAUGUACCCAAAAUUUCUCAAAAUCUGAGACUUCCUAUUAUACCCCCUUACUAUUUGGAUUUUUGAAUGAGGACCUGGCGAUAUGAUGUUUUAAGUUCAUAACAGUACUGUGGACUUAAUGUUUAAAACGAUGUGCAUCUUUAAUUUACAUACAUGCUCUAUAUCCUAUACAGUUAUAUAGUUUUAGCUGUCUUGCAUAGUUUUACUGUUUUCAAGUGGUUGUGGUUGCUUGUUAUAGAUCAGUAGAUAAUCUACCUUUUUAGGCUCCAUAGAGCUCUUCCGUAUCGCAGAACCUAGACUUAAAUUAAUAUUCUUUCUUGGAAGACGCAAUUACCAUUUCCUACCAGCAGAGGGGAGUCAAGGCAUGGUUAUACUCUCUACAUAGCAUAUCUGCCCGUUUGGCAUAGCUCACUAUGUUAUUUUGGUCUUCUCUAAGCUUCCCAGUCCCACUUAUAUCGAGUGGCCCUCUGCAGACACACUAUCUACCACAACUUAUGUGAGACACAACUAGGAGGAAAGUUCCUGCUUAUUUACGAGUUUGCAGGAGUUCCUAGGAGGUGGCUUGAGGUUGCGUGCAAUACUUUUCUACCUUCUGUCACAGAGUUGUGUGUAUCUUCUGAUGAGUCCAACAUUUGCCUCAUACAUCCACAAAACAUUUCCAACAGAAACUUUGAGGAACAUCCAGACCUAUCAGGGUUUUCC